rnacentral:misc_RNA from 1 species
GAUGAAGAACGCAGCGAAAUGCGAUAAGUAGUGUGAAUUGCAGAAUUCAGUGAAUCAUCGAAUCUUUGAACGCACAUUGCGCCCCUUGGUAUUCCAUGGGGCAUGCCUGUUCGAGCGUCAUUUGUACCUUCAAGCUCUGCUUGGUGUUGGGUGUUUGUCUCGCCUCUGCGUGUAGACUCGCCUCAAAACAAUUGGCAGCCGGCGUAUUGAUUUCGGAGCGCAGUACAUCUCGCGCUUUGCACUCAUAACGACGACGUCCAAAAGUACAUUUUUACACUCUUGACCUCGGAUCAGGUAGGGAUACCGCUGAACUUAAGCAUAUCAAUAAGCGGAGGA